ensembl:lncRNA
GUCUUUUAUCUUCAGUGCUUUUUCCUGAUGCUGUUAUGUGUGUAGGUUAUUUUCCUUGUGUGGAGGUUGCACAGGAAAAAUACCUGUCUGGUUUUAUUUUCCUUUUAGAAUUUAUGCUGCUAUUUUAUUGUUUUUCAUUUUAAAGUUUUAGCUGUGGGGUGGGACGGGGUUGCUCCUCUGCUUGGUGUAUAGGUUUAGCUAAUAGAAGACUCUUUAUUAAUUAGAGGUCAGACUGCCUCUGGGCUUUUUUUUAAUAACUUUUAGUUAAUGUUGUGGGGAAGCUGGGCUUUUUGUGGUCUUGGAAACGUAACAGUGUGUAUGUAUGUGUGUGUAUUUUGUUGUGUGUAUGUGUGUUUUUGUUUCAGGAGCAAGUGUGUCUAGAAAGAGCCUAGCAUUCACAAAGUGUACGAUUUGAUUUUGAUUUUUAAUUGCAUAUUAUUAACCCAGAGGCAGCACAUUUUUAUUAGUGUUAUUAUUUAUUAUAUCUUUCUUUUUAGUUAAUUUAAUGUUUGUAUUCCUUUUAUUCUUUGUACCAGGAUUUUUUUUCCCAUCACCAGUUACAAGUUCGCAGGAUUAUGCUUGCGUCUGUGUCUGCUAAUUUGCUACAUCAUAAUAGCUAAAGGUGAAUCUUAAUGUAUCAUUAAUUAUGAUCUACAGUAUGGAGUCCGUGCUUGUUUGGCCACUUUGCAAACCUGUUAUUCAAUACAAAAUGAUGAUUAAAUUCUUAUGAGAUGCCACUCUUCAUGUAUUAAAUGUCUUUUGGGGCACAUUCCUACACUGUAUUUCAUAUUUAUCAUAUAUACUGGUUUCCUGUUCUUAUCUUCUUUUUUCUUUCCUGUUAAUCAUCAGGUAGCCUUCCGAGGUGGCCGUCCAACUGCGGUCUGGAGUGUGGGGCCUCCCUGCUGCUACGGAGUCGGGGCGGUCUGCUUCUCCCCACCGCAGGGAAAAGGGUAACACCACCUGGGUCUGGGUGCAGUUCCCCCCUCCAGGGGCAAGGGUACCUAGACCCGGUUCAUAGAGUACGCUUGGGGAGUGUGAUCGUGUGUACAGUGUCUCUUUAGAAUCAGAAUCAGAAAGGGUUUUAUUGCCAAAUGUUGAGCAGGUUUACAACAUUAGGAAAUUGCUGCGGUGCUUUAUAUCUGUCUCCACGUUGGUUGAGUGUGGAGUAAGUGCAUAUGAGAGCAUGAGGGUGGGAAUGGAUGUUUGUGUCUGUGUGUGCCUGUAUGUCUGUGUCUAUAUGUCAGGUUGGGUAUCAGACGCCACCUCUCUGGGGACAUCUCAGGCCCUCCAAGGUUUGGAGGCCUAUCUCCACCCACCACCACUUCCCCUGCCAGUGGCGGACUCCCUCAGGUAUCGGUGCGUUGGUGGUUCUUUGUGUCUGGGGAUGGGCGUCCGGGUGCACACCGGCUCACUCCUUGGCGGCCGCUUAUCGGGGCCUGGAGCCUGGGGCUCGCUCGGGCCACUUCGGAGGUGGGGUGCCCCCGGCCUCUCGGCCUGGGGCUCGGUCACUCAGGCACAGCUGGCUGCCGGCGGAGCUCACGGGCGCGUCACUGCAACUCCCCCUGGCUUCUACUCCGCGGCUGCUGAGUGAGCCCUCAUCUGGGACUCUCCUCAGCUCUUACUGGGACAGUGGCGCGGCUGCCCCUCUGUUGGUCUUCCUUGGUCUCUUGUGUUCUGGGGGCCUCUGGAUGUCUGGAGUUUUGAUCUCCUCAUGCUCUGGAGGACGGGGCUGUGGCUCCCCACACUCCCUAGCAGAUCAUUACAUGGAGAAACCUUUGGAAUGCAAGCAUGCUGAUCCACACAGGUGUACACACGGGUAUUCACAGACGCGGACUACAGCUUUCUUGGCUGCUGCCUCAAAGCACAUUGUGCGCUGUCUAUCUUGCGUGCUGCACAAUAUCGUUUAUUAUUUAGUAUCUACUGAUAUCUACUGCUAGCUAGUUUAUUGUGAUGGUGCUGUUUUUUUUAUUAUGUUGCUCUUUGUUGUUUGCUUUCUCUUCUGUUUUUUUUCUCCAUACAGGUGACCCAGGUGUUUUGUUUGUUUUUUUGUUUGUUUGUUUGUUUUUUUCUUCCCCACCUUCUCACCGUCUCUUCUCCCCUUUGGUUUUCUUUCUCUCCCUCUCUUUCUUUCAUUCUUUCUCCCUGUCCUAUCCCCCAGUCAUGUCUGUCCCGUUUGUAGCAACUGAAAAUAAAAUAAAUUCAUAAUUAUAAUAAAGGUCAAUCAAAUGGACCAAUAUGGCAAGGCCAUGAUGAUCCACUUGGUAAAAUAAAUCCGCUUGGCAUCUUUCUUGGCCUUAAGACAACAAUUCUGAUGGCUAAAGAUCCAAACGGGACACGAAAAAAAAAAAAAUCAUCAGGUAGCCUAGCAAUCAAAAUUGUCCCCAUGUAAAAGACUGAAUUCUUAGUCCCACGGUCAGCUCUUUAUUAUCUCAAAUUAAUAUGUGAUCCUUUACUUUCGCUCCAUUCUAAAGGACAAAACUCACAUUUUAGCCACACAACCUGUGCAAACUGCUUGGAAGGCUUUCUCAAUCUGUUUUUCUUUUGCUUUCAAAUAGGCCUCUGCAAAGUUUCAAUGAACUUUGCUCUUUACUCGAAUAACAACAAAGAGAGUUGAGCGACUCGGAGAGGCCAAGGCAUGGCAAGAGUCACACACUGCCAAUAACCCAUCUAACACCCACGCUGUGAACCAACUCUGAGGCUCUUUUACAAAUUGACAGGCAAGGACUUCAGGAACAAAAACUACUCAAAAUCAAAAGCGAAGCUGUUGCAGAAUCAAUACUUCACAAGACGACACCAAGACAGAGUCCGUGGGCUACAUUUCUGUCUUCACCCCCAGCGCUCCAAACGCGCUUGAUUAUGAUUUUCCAUCAACAAAACAUUCUAACACCUCCUCCUUGGAGACCCUGACUCACAUCUCUCCUUGGAAGCUAUGCAGCUCUCCAGCUAUUCCAACUGAUUGCAAGCACAACUUUUGAUUAUAUCCCUACUACACAGUGUCCUCCUCUCAAGCCUGCUUAACCUGCACGUACACCAUGCAUGCGAGCACAAACACACACAUGCACACAGCCCC